rnacentral:rRNA from 1 species
GAUGAACGCUGGCGGCGUGCCUAACACAUGCAAGUCGAGCGGACGGACGAGACGCUUUCUUCUCUGAAGUUAGGGGCGGGGGGGUGAGUAACACGUGGAUAACCUGCCUAUGAGGCUGAGGUAACUACGGGGAAGCGAAGAUAACACCGGACAAUAUGUUGAACCGGAGGGUUCAUCGGACCAAGACGGUCCUGAUGUCACUAGUAGAUGUUUCCGAGCUGGAUUAGCUAGUUGGUAAGGUAACGGCGUACCAAGGCGACGAUGCGUAGCUGACCUGAGAGGGUGAUCGGCCACACUGGAACUGAGACACGGUCCAGACUCCUACGGGAGGCAGCAGUGGGGAAUAUUGGGCAAUGGGCGAAAGCCUGACGCAGCCACGCCGCGUGUGUGAAGAAGGUCUUCGGAUUGUAAAGCUCUGUUAGUUGGGAGGAACAGAUGUGUAUGUAACCGUGGCCGUCUUGACGGUACCUACUCAGAAAGCCACGGCUAACUACGUG